rnacentral:lncRNA from 1 species
GAGCAUCAUCAACUCCUUGGAUGAAAGGCGGGCUACAAAUGCAAGCAACCAACGAAUCAGUUCUUUGCUUGCAAAUGGUUCCAGGUUCAAUCCAGGUAAGACUUAGGAUGUCACACACCCCAACUAGUUUAAAUGUUAUUUCUUCCAUCCAGGAAACCCUGAUAAAUUUAGGUCAUGUCUACACAUUUGAAAGUGCCUGGCUUCCCCCAAAGAAUCCUGGGACCUGUGCUGGGAAUUAUAGCACUGUGAGGGGUAGACUACAGUUCGUAGGAUUCUUUGAGAAGAGGCAUGACUGCUAAAGAGCUCCAAAUGUCCCAUUCUGUGACAGGGUGAGGGGCUUCUAAGUUACUUCUCAACACACUCACCAAACUACAGCUCCCAGAAUUCUUUAGGGGAAGUCCAACUGUUAUAAAACUGAUCCACACAUCACCUUGCCAACAAAGCUCCAUAUAGUUAAAGCUAUGGUUUUCCCAGUAGUGAUGUAGGGAAGUGAGAGCUGGACCAUAAAGAAGGCUGAUCGCCGAAGAAUUGAUGCUUUUGAAUUCUGGUGCUGGAGGAGACUCUUGAGAGUCCCAUUGACUGCUGUAAGAUCAAACCUAUCCAUUCUAAAGGAAAUCAGCCCUGAGUGCUCACUGGAAGGACAGAUCGUGAAGCUGAGGCUCCAGUACUUUGGCCACCUCAUGAGAAGAGAAGACUCCCUGGAAAAGACCCUGAUGUUGGGAAAGAUGGAGGGCACAAGGAGAAGGGGACGACAGAGGACGAGAUGGUUGGACAGUGUUCUCGAAGCUACCAGCAUGAGUUUGACCAAACUGCGGGAGGCAGUGGAAGACAGGAGUGCCUGGCGUGCUCUGGUCCAGGGGGUCACGAAGAGUCGGACACAACUAAACGACUGAACAGCAACAACACUUGGACACUGAAGAGCUUUCGUCUCCUUCCUUUUACCAAAUCUAUUCCCACGCUUCUAACAAGUGUGUGGGGGGGGGUGAGAUACUGAUCUGACUCUUACCAGAGCUUCCCAGAGUUCAAAUUUUGUACUAAUUGGAGCUCCUGAAGUGUAACAUCAGAAAGGAUGACAUCAAGCGAUUAGGCAUAAUUCACUCUGGUAGUAGCUACUGAGCAACGAAGUCACCAAGAGAGAAACCUCACUGGUGCAUAAAUUCACAAAAAGAUUUGAGCUGAUGACUAUCUGUAAUUGGAUGUGAUCCUGGAGGAAAAUUACCUUCUGAUCCAUUCCAGGCUCCCGUAUAGACACCCUGCAUGGAAACACCUCCUGGUGGAAGGAACAAAGUUCUUCAUUAAAACAACAACAACAACCCCAUAAGGAUAGAUCCGAGCAUGCUGGACUUCUCCAGGCUGAUAGAACAGAAGAACAGAAGAACUACCUUGAUGGAUCUGACUAAAGGAUGUCCAGAUCGAGAAGGCCUGGAAACGAUGCCUUAUGAGGAACGGCUAAGAGAGCUGGGCAUGUUUAGCCUGGAGAAGAGGAGGUUAAGGGGUGAUAUGAUAGCCAUGUUCAAAUAUAUAAAAGGAUGUCACAUAGAGGAGGGAGAAAGGUUGUUUUCUGCUGCUCCAGAGAAGCGGACACGGAGCAAUGGAUCCAAACUACAAGAAAGAAGAUUCCACCUAAACAUUAGGAAGAACUUCCUGACAGUAAGAGCUGUUCGACAGUGGAAUUUGCUGCCAAGGAGUGUGGUGGAGUCUCCUUCUUUGGAGGUCUUUAAGCAGAGGCUUGACAACCAUAUGUCAGGAGUGCUCUGAUGGUGUUUCCUGCUUGGCAGGGGGUUGGACUCGAUGGCCCUUGUGGUCUCUUCCAACUCUAUGAUUCUAUGAUUCUAUGAUUCUAUGAUUAUCCUCCACAGUCACUUGCUAACACACUGUUAAGAUCAUAUUCAUGGAAGGCAAUCUUAUCCGGCUACGAGUGAUCACUAAGGAAGAACAUCUAAUUCAUCAUUCCCUUUUCACGAUGGCCAACCAGAUGCAUGUUGGGAAGCCAUGAGCAGGAUCUGGGCACAAGAGCACUCUCAUGUCCUGUGGUUUCCCACAACUGUUAUUCAGAAGUAUUACUGCCUCCAGCUAUGGACAAAGAGCAUAGCCAUCGUGGGUUGGAGCCCCCAACAGCCCCCUCCUCCAUGAAUUCAUCUCGCCCUCUUGUGGGGGACAUUCCUUGGGUGCCGGCCAUGGUAGUGGGAGUCACGGGGCCCCAUUUGUACCAGGUGGCCCUCGAGAAUGGACGCUUGCGGCGCUGCUACAUAGACCAGCUAAGGCACAGGGUUGGGGAUUUGGACACUACCGCUGUGCCCCCAACUGUGGCCCCAGCUCAGGAGCGGUCGCUAAUGGAAGGCGAGGCUCCAUCUACAUCUUCCUCACAAACUGCAGGCAUGGAGCUGAUCCGUUUCAGUGGGUCUGCCUGGCUCUCCAGGGACUCGGACCACUGCCGUGCCUGACCAUCCACUGAGUCCGCUUGUGGCGGUUCCUUCGACAGGAGCCAGGGAACUCGGGCUCAACGCCACAAUUGGUCACACCACAGUCGCAGCCAGAAUCGGGCGGCCACCCAGACUCUGGUACUGGCCCUCGGCGGUCUGGCAAGGGUUUCCAAGCGCCCAGCUUAUUUAAAAGACUAUUUUCACCGGACAAACUGCACAUGUAAAGCUGUAUGGUGAAUAGGGUAAAUUAGUAUUUGAUCGUGAGUCUUACGGGUGAUACAGCUGAUAGUGAAACAGUUAUACCUGCGAACUUGUAAUAUUGGAAUCGAUAUGCUUAUGUGCCUUACAGAAACCAAUAAGGGUAUUGCUGUAUGUAAUGGAAGGCAUUAGAUUGUAACUAAUGCCUUAUCUUGGUGGGGAGGGGUGUUAUGUAUUGAAGUUCUCACCCUGGCCACCAGGGGUAUUGUGUACAGUGGUACCUCAGGUUAAGCACUUAAUUCGUUCCAGAGGUCCGUACUUAACCUGAAACUGUUCUUAACCUGAAGCACCACUUUAGCUAAUGGGGCCUCCUGCUGCCGCCGCGCCGCCGGAGCACGAUUUCUGUUCUCAUCCUGAAGCAAAGUUCUUAACCUGAAGCACUAUUUCUGGGUUAGCGGAGUCUGUAACCUGAAGCGUAUGUAACCUGAAGCGUAUGUAACCUGAGGUACCACUGUAUAUAGUUUUCACUCAGGUCCACGUCAGUUAAUUUAGGCGGGAAACCCUCGGCUGUUGUUGUUACAGUGUUGACAGCCGGCUGCCUAUAAAAUCAGGCCGGCUGAGCUGUUCAGUUCAGUUCCAGCUUACUAUAAAGAACCACUUGGAGAAAUCUCUGUGUCGUCAACUAUGCCCACUCACAGCUUGAUAGUUGGUGGCCAUCGCUACCUCCUGCAAGGAUGAGUUCCACAGUUUAACUGUGCGCUGCAACCUGAAUUGGCCACUCUGUAAAGAAUCCCACCCCAAAGUAGCCAAAGUCCAGCAAUGCCCCAAGGUUAAGGUGCUUGUCCUGAGGCAGAGAUUUAAUUUGCUGUUCUUGUAUCCCACAGUUGCUUUAAUUUCUAAAUUGCUGAAGAAUCAGGCUGGCAAUGCAUGCAAUGUGUCCAAUGAAGGAAAUAGGCUAAUAGAAGAUUGAUUUCCCUUUGUUUGUUUUCUGGCCUACAAACGUGAGUCAUCUUGUCACUAUUGACUAAGCAUUACCACAUUAUGGAAAGGUGGAGGGGGGGAAUCUUUACAGGCCAGAUUCCAGUAUACUGUCAUCCUAGUAUUGACUCUCUUUUCCUGAAAAAAGACAAUUACUUGAAGCUUUUUGAUGUUCUCUAGAUACUCCUUAAUCCUCUCCUUUUACCCUCAUUUCUAAAGAGAUCAGCAGCUACAACUGGGCAGGUGGUUACGUUUUAUCAAUGCUGAACUGAAAAUGUUAUUAUAUUUAUUGAUUAUUCCUUGAAAUGCCAAGAGAGAGGGAGAGAAGGAGAGGGUUUUGUUCCUAAGAAUGGAGACGCUUGCUGACAGAUUCUACCACCCAUGCUAGAUCGCCAUCUGUUUUACAACAAUGGCCGGGAAGAUGUUCCCAGAGUGGCCGCUCACCAUUUCCACAGAGGGCGACCAUUGCAGCCCCUCGUACUCCUCCACCUUCAUCCCCAGUGGUCAGAGCACACUCACCUGUCGGCCAUUUUGUGGGAAGUCCCCUCCAAUGGCGGUAUUAAGGAGCAGCCUUCCUGCCAAAGAGUGAAACUUUGAAUGAGCCAGUUGGAGGUCCCACUUGGAGGGCAGUGCCUCAAUGGCCAACAGGCAUUAGCUGCUGCCUCCCUGGCCCCUUUCUGGGGAACUCUGGGAAUUGUAGUUAUGUGGGGGGGGGAUGGGGGCCUCCUCACAACUCUCAGCAGCCUUAACAAACUACAACUCCCAGAAUUCCCUGUUUUCUGGCCUACAACCUGCAGCUCCCAGAAUCCCUUGGGGAAAGCCGUGACUCUUUAAGGUGGCAUGACAGUGCAUUAAAUGUCUCGCGUGACUGUGACCUGUGUGUGUCGUUUUCUCCACAUGAUUCAGAAUCCUGCAAAGCGGCUAACGUACUCUCCCUUAGUCAUUUAUUUUCCCAAACCAAUAAUAAUAAUAAUUUAUUUAUAUCCCGCCCUCCCCAGCCAAAGCUGGGCUCAGAGCGGCUAACAACAGUAAACGUAACACAGUGUACAUAAAAUCACAAUCUAUUAAUUGAAAUACAUUCUAAAAUCAAUUCAGAAUCAGAUUAAUGGCAACCAUUGGGCUAGAGUUCUAUGAGGAUUACCAAAGGAGGGGGUCAGGCUGUGCCUUGGCUGAAGGCCUAGUGGAACAGCUCUGUCUUGCAGGCCCUGUGGAAAGAUGUCAAGUCCCACAGGGCCCUAGUCUCUUGUGACAGAGAGUGCCACCAGAUAGGGGCCACAGCUGAAAAAGCCCUGGCUCUGGUUGAGGCCAGCCUAACCUCCCUGUGACCUGGGACCUCCAAGAUGUUUUUGUUUGAAGACCGUAAGGUCCUCCGUGGGACAUACCAGGAGAGGUGGUCCCGUAGGUACGAGGGUCCGUAUAGGGCUUUAAAGCCCCAAAUACUUUACCACCUCACUUUAUAUAAUGCAGACUUCUCCAACUUGGAGCUUUCCAGAUGUUUUGGACGGCAAUGAUUCUGUGCCGAGGUGUGGCAGGGCUAUCUUCUGGGGGGGCACAGAGCAGAAAUCUGAUGUUGCAUCAGCAACAGCCAUCUUUAGACUGAGCCCUCUCCAGGAGCAGAAGCUUGGCGCCAGCUGAAAACUCUGCCUUCACGGGGGGGGGGCACCAGGGGGCGCAUUGGAAGAUGGCUGACAAUAACAUCUCUCCGACCCACACGAGGUAAUUAAGAGGCUGCUAUGGGAAGUAUGCAGCCUUCCUUGCCCCCCCCCAAGGGGAUGGGGGGACUGCCUUGCCAGCGGUGUCCAUAAUGCACCCCCGGAUUCGAAAGAAGGGGGUGUGGACACUUGGCACGAAGCCCUCGGUGAAGUCGGCUCUUCCUGACGCUGUCUCCAAUUAGCGCAUUGGUUCGCAUUAGCUUGAAAUAUUUAAUUGGAAAUAUAUAAUUGGAAAGAAGCUAAUGCACAUACAUCAAGUGAAGAUCAGGAGUAAAGACUGCUGAUUAAUGGGGUCUCUGUGAGUGGAGCGACGGGCGUGAAAAUAAAUCAAGUCAAGAAUCAACAUCAAGACACUGGUAUGUUGAGUGAAACGGAAAGGGAGAGGAGGAAAAAACUUUUCUUUUUUUGCCUUAUGUGAGUACCAAUAAUCCUCCCCUCCAGAUAGAGAGAAGAAUCAUUGCUAUUAUUAAUCACAAGCAGGAGACUAAGAACUGUGUGGGAGUGAAUUAUUGAUUGAAGAGAGGACUGGUGGAAAUACCGGGGAAUGAAAGGAAAGUAUUAUGACGCAGUUAAAAAAUGGAGUUUUGUGAAGACAGGCUUGCUUAAGGUGGACGAGAGGGAGGAGGACCAGGGUCAUUGGAAUGUGAAUGCAUGGUUAUCGGAACGCUAUCUUGACCUGGCAGAGUCCUCUGAGAUAUAGAUUCGCAAGCUUGUGAAUCAAUGGACAGACAGUGGGAAUGUUUUUAAUGGAGGUGUGGAAAUGGUGUCUGUCCUUUAUGUGAUAUGAUUUUUGGAGAGUGUAAAACCCACACAGGAGAUGUUUGUCUUUCACCCGCUUGUGAAGAUUAUCAGAGACCACAAAGAAAGGAAUAUAUGAUAACAACAAGAAGAUGAAGAAAAUAACAAAAAGACUAUCUGGACAGAACUGGAUAGAACUGUUUGAUCAAGGCAGCAGCAAGAGUGAUGCUUUGAACCCUUUCGGAACUUGAAGUAUGGGUACCCCCAACAAAAAUUUUAAAAAUCCGGCUGUAUAAUUUGGAUUUAAUGUGAUUUGGAAUUAAUGUCAGCAUCGCCCUUGAGCCAGUGCCACCAACUGGACUCAUCCACUUCAGCCCCGACUGGGCUAGGUGAGCUGGGUAGCACUUCCAGAGACCACCUUCUGCACAGGAACAGGUCAAAGUGCUGUGGACUCACAGCUUAGAGUUGUGAGCACCGGAUUCACUCCAACAAGAAGACAGUCGUCGCACAGCAGAGUUCAGCAGAGUCUAGCAGAGUAUAAACAACUCGGAGAGCAGCUUUGUAGAAUAUCUUCUUUAUUCUAUAACUACAACUAUUAUACAACUAUAUACAGAGCUAAAUAGGUCUAAGCAUAAAUGAAUGCUGCACUGCACUGAGUGUCUGCAGCUGCUCUUAGCAGCAACCUUAUCUCUACACACGAUCUCUAACACUCAGUCUCUCUCUCUCUCUCUCCGACACUGACUGACUGACUGACUCUGGUGCUGGAGCAGAAUAAGUAGAGAGCAGAACACGCCUCCUCCUCUCUGGAGAACCAGCAGACUCCUCAGGAGAUUCUUGGAUAUGGGAGGGGUGAAAUCUCCUCAAUUAAUGUGAUUUGAUUGGCCUGUUAAUAAAAAUUAUAUUAAAAAAAAAGAAAACUCUGCCUUCGCUAUUAUUGGAAUGGAGGUGAAAUUAGUAAUGAUAUGUUGGGCUAAAUAUAUUGGACAUAAUAUACAAUUAGAAGAAUGGGAAAGGUUAUGGAAUGAAGGUAUUAACUUUACAACAUGCAGUACGCUUAAAGAAAAAUUUAUGAAAAUAAUGUAUAGGUGGUAUUUAACACCAGUUAAGGGACACGGGUGGCGCUGUGGGUUAAACCACAGAGCCUAGAACUUGCUAAUCAGAAGGUUGCUUGGUCCCUGCUCCUGCCAACCUAGCAGUUCAAAAGCACGUCAAAAUGCAAGUAGAUAAAUAGGUGCCGCUCCAGCAGGAAGGUAAACAGCAUUUCCGUGCGCUGCUCUGGUUCGCCAGAAGCGGCUUAGUCAUGCUGGCCACAUGACCCGGAAGCUGUAUGCCGGCUCCCUCGGCCAAUAAAGCGAGAUGAGCGCCGCAACCCCAGAGUCGGUCACGACUGGACCUAAUGGUCAGGGGUCCCUUUACCUUUACCUUUUAACACCAGUUAAGCUAGCCAAAAUGUACAGAACAAAAAAUGAAUGUUGGAAAUGUAAGGAAAAGGAAGAUACUUUUGACCAUAUGUGGUAGACAUGUAAAGAGGGAAAGCUUUCUGGGAAAUGAUAUAUAAUAAGUUAAAGAAAAUGUUUAAAACCACUUUUGUUAAAAAAAAACAGAAGCUUUUUUAAUGGGUAUAGUGAGUAGAGAAAUACGGAGACAAGAUUAAAAAAAAAAAUUCUUAUAUGCAACAACUGCGGCAAGAAUUUUGUUAGCCCAAAGAUGAAAACAACAGGAGUUACCAAUAAAAGAAGAGUGUCAGGUGAAGCUGUUGGACUUUGCAGAACUGGCGAAACUGACGGGAAGAAUGCAGAACCAGCGAGAACAAGCAUUCCAAAAGGACUGGAACAAAUUUAUAUUAUAUCUGAAAGACAACUGUAAGCAAUUAACAUCAUCAGCAGGGUUAUCUGAAGAUUUGUAAGGUGAAAUUGCUACCUCUUCACGUUGAGUAAUGUAAUAUUUUAGGUAAUGAUAUAACAAGGAUAGGAAACGAAGCGAAAUGUAAAGAUGUAAAGUUUAAUUUUGUAAACCAUCAGACGGGAGGGAGGGAAGUCGUUAGGCUCAGUCGAGCUGAAGAGAUAAAAUAAAAGGGUACAAUGUUACGUAAUGUGAUUAUAUGUAAAACCAAUAAAAAUCAUUUAUAUAUUAAAAAAAAGAAAACUCUGCCUUUGCUGAAAGGUGCCACUUCAAGCAACCUUUGACAGACCUGAGUAGGCUUUGGUUGUGUGUGGUUGGAUACUGUGAUGGAGUCCUCUGAGCAAUUCAACAUCCUCUGUGAGUCAGGGGGCACUCACCAGAGAUAACCUCUGGGUCUAGCCCAUGGGUCUGGCCCAAUAGCCUUCUAAAUCCUGCCUGCGGACAGUCCGGGAAUCAGUGUGUUUUUACACUGCUUUUAUUUAAAAUGCAUCUCUGGGUUAUUUGUGGGGCAUAGGAAUGCGUUCAUAUUUAUUUAUUUUUCAAAAUAUAGUCCAGCCCCCCACAAGGUCUGAGGGACAGUGGACCAGCCCCCUGCUGGAAAACUUUGCUAGCCCCAGGUGCAAUUGCCCCUCUGACUCAAAUUCCUCAACAUUACCCUCUGAAGAAGGUAUGUCUGACCCCAGGGUCAAGCCAACAGCUUCCAUCACCCGCAGCCAGCACAGAAUUGUAGACUGAAGCAUCUGGAACGCACAAGGUUGAAGACUGUUUGUGGCAUACUUCAAGUUCUGCACCAUUUUAUGUGCAUACCCUGAGACUACAUUUCCCCCUCCCCAAUGAUAUAUUCAAAAUACGCCCAUAUUUGCCAGUGAUGCAAACCGAUAUUUAUCCCCCAGCCAUUCAAAUGUUGUUGAAAAUUGAGAAGUGCUCUUGUCAGCGGAUCGCCGUGUCAGAGGAGAAGGUACACUACUGUAAAACCCACUUAAAUGUUUGCAUCCUGUAAUAUUAUAUCUCUGAUGUUUUCAUAGGUCUGUAUUUGCCAGCAAUACAAACUAGUCUUUAAUCUUCCAGCCAUCAAUAUGACAUUGAAAUGUCAAGAAAUGCUACCGUCAGCAUGUCUCAGGGAAAAAAAGAGGAAAGGAAGGCUGGGGAGGAAAAAUGGAAAUGACUCAAGAAAAAACACGCCAGCGUCUGGCUGUAUGCUGAAAACAACAAAGCAUCUUGGGGCACUUUAAAGACAAACCAAUUUAUUAUGGCAUGAGCUUCUGUAAUCUACAAUUCACUAUAUCAGAUGUAAAGGCAUGGUUUGGGGAAGGAAAAAAACAAAAUCAGAG